CAAGUGGCCCUCGCAAGGGGGAAACGUGAACCUGGUCAGGCCUUAACCGGAGCAGCCAUAAGCGCCGUACUCUUGUGCGAGGGCCGCUUAUCG
rnacentral:SRP_RNA from 1 species